CAUGCAAUUUUGAUUUCAGCUUCUCCGGAUUACUUGCCAACUCUGGGAACAGGAAGGCAGAGACAAUCCAUCUCUGAGAAAUCUUUCAGAUUGUGGUUCAGACCCAGAACCUGACAAAGCAGAGCGAUGACCUCCUCCUGGUUGGUCUUAAUCCGCUGAGUGAUUGGCUGCAUUACGAGGACAAUCGAAGAAGGCUACACACAUUCCUCAGAAGCCAGAUCCUCUGCCACUUGAAUCCAAAUCCCUCUUUCCUGCUGGGACCACAAAACUAUCAUUGCUUUUCUCAGAUGAGAGGAAAUUAGCCAGUGGUCAUCAACUGGGAUGAUUUUGCCAAGCUGCCAACCCCCAUGGGAGACUUGGGGAUACCUACGGACAUUUUUUAGCUUUAUAGCUGGGUUGGGGUGCUAAUUGACAGAGGCCAAGGACGCUGCUGAACAUCCCACAGUGACCUGGACAGACCACCACAGCAAGGGAUACUCACUUCAAAAUGAUGACAGGGCUGAGGUUGAAAGCCCUGCAUUAAACCUAGUGGGUCUUUGGGUUUUUGUCUACAUCUUGAAUGUAUUUGCUCAUGG
rnacentral:lncRNA from 1 species